rnacentral:rRNA from 1 species
GACGAACGCUGGCGGCGUGCUUAACACAUGCAAGUCGAACGAUGAAGCCGGAGCUUGCUCUGGUGAAUUAGUGGCGAACGGGUGAGUAACACGUGAGUAACCUGCCCUUGACUCUGGGAUAACUGCUAGAAAUGGUAGCUAAUACCGGAUACGACCCUCGGCGGCAUCGCCAGGGGGUGGAAAGAAUUUCGGUCAAGGAUGGACUCGCGGCCUAUCAGCUAGUUGGUGAGGUAACGGCUCACCAAGGCGACGACGGGUAGCCGGCCGGAGAGGGUGACCGGCCAAACUGGGACUGGGACACGGCCCAGACUCCUACGGGAGGCAGCAGUGGGGAAUAUUGCACAAUGGGCGCAAGCCUGAUGCAGCAACGCCGCGUGAGGGAUGACGGCCUUCGGGUUGUAAACCUCUUUUAGUAGGGAAGAAGCGAAAGUGACGGUACCUGCAGAAAAAGCACCGGCUAACUACGUGCCAGCCGCCGCAGUAA